rnacentral:misc_RNA from 1 species
GAUGAAGAACGCAGCGAAAUGCGAUAAGUAAUGUGAAUUGCAGAAUUCAGUGAAUCAUCGAAUCUUUGAACGCACAUUGCGCCACCUGGUAAUCCGGGGGGCAUGCCUGUUCGAGCGUCAUUUCACCACUCAAGCCUCGCUUGGUAUUGGGCAACGCGGUCCGCCGCGUGCCUCAAAUCGACCGGCUGGGUCUUCUGUCCCCUAAGCGUUGUGGAAACUAUUCGCUAAAGGGUGUUCGGGAGGCUACGCCGUAAAACAACCCCAUUUCUAAGGUUGACCUCGGAUCAGGUAGGGAUACCCGCUGAACUUAAGCAUAUCAAUAAGCGGAGGA